rnacentral:tRNA from 1 species
GGCGAGAUGGCCGAGUGGUCUAAGGCGCUGGUUUUAGGCACCAGUCUCUCCGGAGACGUGGGUUCGAAUCCCACUCUCGUCA